rnacentral:lncRNA from 1 species
UCAGAGUGAAAUGCAUACACCAGAGAAAGAAACAAGCCUUAAAAACUUAUUUUGAUAAAACUUGCCUAGAAAAGUGACGUUUGAAAAAUACGUUGGUUCGCUAAGGAUGAAAUAUAAUUCGUGAAGCCCUAUGGGAUUAUGGGUGUAUUAGGUGGCUAAUUAACUAUUGGUUAUAUUAUAUUAACUUCCAGCACAUUACUUUCAGUCAAAACUUACUUUCUUGCACAACGGUUGGCGCAGGGGUACGGUGAUUGCUGUAACGUACCCAUGGCACCAUAUGCAAAUAUGGUGGCGGUACAUAAAAAUAUGGUUGGCGUAGGGGUACAGCAUUCUAACAUACCCACGGCAUCAUAUGAAAAUAUGAUGGCGGCACAUAAAAUGUGAAUAUGCCGAGACAACAUAUGAAUGGGGACGCUUUCGUGAGUGCUGGCACAAAAGGUUC